rnacentral:lncRNA from 1 species
AGUUCAGACCGAGGAGCCUGUGACACAGUCAACACCAAUGCCAAGGAGCCAGUGGAUACAGGGGUUGAGGUUGCAGACAUAAACACAGGAUUCAUCAGCAUAUGUGUGGUUUCUGAACCUAUGGGACAGGAUGGCAUCACUCAGGGAAAGAGCACAGAGUCAGAAGAAAAUAUGACCCAAGACCAGGCCUUGAAGAACUCCGAUAUUUAAUGUUUGGGUAGAAGAAAAGGCAAACGAAAGUAUCUGAAAAGAUGGGCCAGAGAAGAGAGAAUCAACCAAGGGGAGAUGGUCCCAGAAGUCAAACAGAAGGGAGUGAUUCGCUGUGAUGAAUGCUGCAGAGGCCAAAUAAGUGCCUCCUGAUGCUUGCAAUCUCAUUCCCAAUUCACCAGCGUGCGUGAAU